GGUCAACGGACAUAAGGACUGAGCAAACAAGGAGCUGAUUGAUGGUCUUUAGAAGAGCAUCGAUGGAGCGUCUGUGGUGGAGAUAAAUGCCAGAUUGCUGAUGAUGAAGGGUGAAAGGUUGCGAGAAGGUGGAGACAGUAAGUGCAGACAUUCUUUUAAAAAAAACUUGAAGGAUAGUAGGUAGAGGGCAUGCUGUAUCAAGAUGAGAGUGACUUCAACAUGGUUAUGCACUACACAGAAGUUGGCAGAAAGGGAGAAGUUGAUACAGGAAAAAGGAAGUAUGUGAGACUGAAUGUUAUCCUCAGGAUUAGCGGGAAUGGAGGGAAGAUAUAGGGCUGGAGUAGGAGUAGGAGUAUAAUUUCUACUGACAUAGGAGUAGCGGAAGGAGAGAUGGUGUUGAGGAAGAAAAGUGUUUGGGUGGUAGGUGAGGGAUUUGGGGCCUCCUUACACUUGAUUAAUUUUCUCAGUAAAGUGUGGGGAGGUUAAAGUCAUUAGCUGAGUUUAUCGAGUAAGAAAAUAGUGAUUGUAGGGGAGAGUUUGAGGAGAAGGGAGCAUUUUCAGAAGGCCAUUGGUGGAAAUGAGAGGGCUAAUGGAAUGGAUUACUUAGACGAAUUGUAAUGACACAUAUUUCAUGGCUCUGGUGUAUAUAGUUGUAUGAGUGAUCUUCUCCCCCCAUGUCAGGGCUCAGCAACCUGAGUGAGCAGACAAGUUGAACAAGUCCCCGUCUAAUGGGCCAGUGUGGCAGAAAGGGAGGCAAGAGAUUUCAGCAGUGAUAGGGUUUAAAGCAAUGGGCCAUUGAGGCUAAGCUGAAUAGGGGGUAACUUUUGAAACCGGAAAGCAGCUGGGAUAUGAAGUGUCGAGACUGGAUAUUGGAAUUUAAGAUUAAGUUAAAUUUCAGAUUAAAUAGGAGGAGCAGUUGCUGGUUAUGACUGACUGUAAGAGCUGGUUAUGGAGCAGAUUUCUGAAGUAGAGAGAAAGUGAAGGUUAUGGGGGUUGAACAGAUAAGGGAACUGUAAAGCUAGGGUGUUAACAGGAGUCAGCUACAGAGGAAGUAAGUUGCUCAGAAUGGUUCUAGGAUAAGGGUUGGGAAGAUUAUGAACUUUGUUCCAAAGUCUUUAGUGAACGUGGGAGAGUGACCAAGAGGUCAGGUGAUGACAGAAACAAGGAGAGAAAGGCAGGAACAGGACAUAAACCUCUACAGAGGUACUUUUAUAUGAGGGUAAAGAACUGCAUUGGUGAAUAAAGAAUGACCUCCAUGCCUCACCUUGGCUGAGCAGGAGAAAGAAUAGCUUGCAUUCAUAUUUUAGUUUAGACAGAAAGACUGCUGGAAUGUUAUUCAAAUUGGUUCAAGGUUUAGGGUAUUUGUUUACAGUGGAACAUUUAAAGGGUUAUCAGGAAAUAUAGCUAUUGCACAUGUGCGCUAGUCGAGGAGGGGGAGUACAUACCAGAAAUGAGAUCAGAGUGCAGCGACAAAGAGGAAUUAAAUUGGAGGGGCUUAGGUUUGGAUGAUUGUGGUAAUGAUGAAAAACAUGGUAGUCUUAGCUGGUCUCAAAAUUUUUAUUGAUUUUGUGGGAAAAUGUAUUUAUGCUGACAGACUGAGAUACUGGUUAUGCACAAAACUGGAUGACUUCAUUAUUUUCAGGUCUGCUUAGUAAUGUUUAGCAAUCUGUGGCCUUUGCUCAGCAUGUCAUGAAGAACCCUAGCAUGGAGGUGUUUUCUUCUUUGGCAAGGCCUAGCCCUGGUAAGGAGCAUGGCAGGGCAAAAGCGAUUGGUGGUCACGUGAUCUUUUCACCAGGACAAACUUCUCUCUAAGGGGUGGGUAGGUAGGUAGAGAUAAUCCUGAGUCCAAAUUGGGGUGAGAAAUCAUAGGUCAUCAGUCCUUUGAAAAACCUGAUGCCAGCUUGAAGGGGUAUGUAAAAAAUUCUGAGUCCCAAAAGGAGGGACUAGCAGUAAGGAUGAUUAAUGAUCUUCUUCAUGACUUAAAAAUUUAAUACUAUUGCAGCAGUAUUUAAGUCUUAUUUAAGUUAAAAAGUAUAACCUGAAAUGCUACACAUUAAAUGUCUAUUUUUAAAAUUAGAAAAUGUGUCAAAUUAUAAAGUUGCAAAAUAAUACUCUCAAAAUUUUACCUCUCCCAAAAUGCCUUUCUUUCAACGUUUUUUUUUAUUUUUGAGACAGAGAGAGACAGAGCAUGAACGGGGGAGGGGCAGAGAGAGAGGGAGACACAGAAUCGGAAACAGGCUCCAGGCUCCGAGCCAUCAGCCCAGAGCCUGACGCGAGGCUCGAACUCACGGACCGCGAGAUCGUGACCUGGCUGAAGUCGGACGCUUAACCGACUGCGCCACCCAGGCGCCCCCCAAAAUGCCUUUCUUGAAGCCAAAGGUUUUACGUUGAUCUUUGGCAUAUUAAAAAAAAAAAAUUUUUUUAAUGUUUAUUCCUAUUUGAGAGAGAGAGAGACACACACACAGAGUACAAGCAGGGGAUGGGUCAGAGAGGGAGACACAGAAUCUGAAGCAGGCUCCAGGCUCUGAGCUGCCAGCACAGAGCUCGACGUGGGGCUGGAACUCACAAACCACGAGAUCAUGACCCGAGCCGAAGUCUGGUGCUUAACCGACUGAGCUACCCAGGCGCCCAAUUUUUGGCAUAUUUAAAAUAUGCUUUCAGACUUCCUCGGGGCAAGGAAUACUUAGAAGCAUGAUGCAUGGUGUUUUUGCGCAGCCCUAAGAAUAUUGGUGUGCUCUUGAGCACUGACCUUGAUAAGCACUGAGUAAUGUACAGAUAGAAUUGUUGAAUCAUUGUAUUGUACAUCUGAAGCUAGUAUAAUACUGUAUGUUAAUUAUACUUCAAUUAAAAAAAGAAAGAAAAUAAAUUAAAAAAAGAAAUAAUUGGUAUGUAUGAUUUCACUAUACAAACCAAGAACAGUUCUCCCAGCAGAAAACAUGAUUUCUUUAGAUGUAUAACUAUCUCUGCCUCUCACAAAAUAAUAGAUAAUAUUCAAAAGAAAUCACAUGCCACAAUUUUUUAAAAUCUUUUUAACCACUAGGCUGAUUUGCCUCAUAUUGUUUCUUUUGUCAUAUUAGAACUUUAGCUCAAAGGCAAGUGGUGGCAAGUAGGAGUUAAUGACAAUUUUGGAGAGAAAAAUUCAACCUUAAAAAACAAUUGAACCUUUUAUUUUUUUGAGUUUUCAAGAAAUAUAUUAACAGUAAGAUAUACUCAGUAAAGAAAACUUGGACAAUGUAGGAAGUUAGGAAGGAAGGGUUACCCAUGGCUCAAAUCAACCACACUUGGUAUUUUGGUGUCUUUCUUUUUAGAUUGAGUUUUUCUCUAAAUUUUGAUUAUUUGGUGUUUUGUUGGUUUGUUUGUUUUAGGUAAAUAAUUAUGCUUAUACUGUAAACUUAAACUAGUAAUCUGCUUUUUCACAUAGCAUUAUUCAUAACCUUCAUAACAUCAUUUGUAAUGAUUGCACAAUAUGACGAAUAUACCACUCUGUAUUUAACCCUUCCCCUAAAAUUAGACUUUCUGAGUAUAGUUGACCUUGAACAAAACAAGUUUUAGCUACGCAGGUCCACUUAUAUGCAGAUUAAAAAAUUGUCUAUUUAUUUUGAGAGUGAGAGAAAACUCAUACACAUGUUAACAGGGGUAGGGUGGGGGGUGGGACGGGGUGGUGGGUAGAGAGAGAGGGAGAGAGAGAAUCCCAAGCAGACUCCAUGCUGUCAGCACAGAGCCCAAUGUGGGAUUCAUCCUGACCUGGGCCGAAACCAAGAGUCGACACUUACCCAACUGAGCCACCCAGGCAUGCCCAUGCAGAUUUUUUUCAACAAAUGCAAUGUAGUACUGUAAAUAUAUUUUAUCUUUUUUAGGAUUUUCUUAAUAACAUUUUCUUUUCUCUAACCUACUGAUUCUAAGGAUACAGUAUAUAGUACAUACUACAUACCAGUAGGUAUUUUAUCACCUGUUUUUAUACCUACCAGUAGGUUUUAAUCACCUGUUUAUGUUAUUGGUAAGCCUUCAGCUCAACAAUAGCUAUCAGUUAAGUCUUUGGGGCGUUAAAAGUUAUGGUCAGAAUUUUGACUGUGUGGGAGUUGAUGCCCCUAACCUCUUCUUUGUUUGAAGGUCAGCUGUAUUUCUUUUCUUUUCUUUUUUUUUUUUAGAGAGAGAACGAGCAUGCAAGUGGGGGAGAGGGGCAGAGGGAGAGAGAAUCUUAAGCUCCACACUCAGCACGGAGCCUGACAUGGGGCUCGAUCCCAUGACCCUGGGAUCGUGACCUGAGCCAAAAUCAAGAGUCGGACACUCAACCAGCUGAGCCACCCCAGGCACCCCAAGAGUCAACUGUAUUUCUAAUUUUUUAGAAUAUUAAACCAUGUUACAAUAUGUGUAUUUGCAUACAAUUUUAUUGUGUAUUCUUUAUUUAUUUGCAUAGUAUAGAUUCUUGGAAAUGGAUUUGUUUGAUCAAAGGCUGUACGCAUUUCUGAAGAUCCUG
rnacentral:lncRNA from 1 species